rnacentral:lncRNA from 1 species
CAGGGUAUUCCAAAAAGAAAUAAGAAAGAUAACUUACUUUAUCAUAGAGAAUGAGUUUUUAGACUGAAUAUAAUUUAAAAGAGGAUACUUGUAACACUGGAAAUAGUGAAUUUCCACUAUCUAGGAGAGAUAUAUAAAUGAAUAAUUUGGCGGGUUUUUCAAGUGUAUUUGUGGUGAUUAUAUUGCAUUUGGCUCUUGUAUCUUCAGUAAAAGAAGCCUUGAAGCACUUCACGUAAGCAUUUUAGUUAACUCUCUCCAUACCUGAUCUCCCUGGCACAAAUUAGGCAAUACUCAACAUUGAUUGCUAUGAAAUAAGGCUGAAGUCCAUUGCUCAAGUGCUGGGACGUGUGUGUGUGUGUGCAUACAUGUGUGCUCACAUGUGCACGUUUGUGUGUGUGUACAAUUUCUCCCAUUCAGAGGAUUGUUUGUUUACUCUUUAGCUAGUAUAUUUUGAUGCACAUUUAAAAAAGCAUUUCAUGAAGGCCAAUUUGUCUACUUUUUUUGUUGUCAUUAUUGCCUGUAUGUUUGGUGUCAUAUACAAUAAGGAUGCAGUGAUGUCCAUUUUCUCCCAUGCCUGAGGGCCAAGGCUAGCUCUGUUUUGGAAAGUGAAGGUAUAUUACUGGCCUAAAUCAAAAUACCCUCAGGCCCCAAUUUACAACAUUAGUGAAAUUAAUCCUUCAUGUUUAAUAAUAAGAGCAUGUACUUUGGAGUCAAGCAUGCUG